CCUAAUUUCGCGAUUUCCUUCUCCCUUUGUCGCUGUCGCGAUUUCCUUCUCCUCUGCCGCGAUUUCUUUCUCUUCUCUCUGCCGCGAUUUCCUUCUCCUCCCUCUGUCGUCACGAUUUCCCUUCCGCCGCAAUCUCCUCCGUCAACCACAACCCUCCACCACUGGUUCUUGGGCUUCUCCGUCAGCCCAACUCUUAUCUUUAAAACCAGCCGGCGUUUUCCCUUCUCCUCCCUCUGUCACGAUUUUCCUUCUGCCGUGAUCUCCUCCGUCAACCGCAACCCUCUGCCACUGGUUCUUGGUAUUCUCCGUCAGCCUAGACGAACUGGUUUCUCUUGUUCUCUCUCGGCCAGGUUCUUAGAUUUUUCUCCUGCCAACCUUCCAACGUUGAGGUUCAUCGGAUCGAUAUUCUUACACGCAGGUCCUUGAAGAAGGCAACAAAACACCUAGUGCUAAUCCUGAUUUUAAAAUUCUAACUUCAUCUUUCCUGUGUCAAACAAGAAAUGAAUAAGAGAGAUAUAACUCUCCCCAUUGUUGCAGUUGUAAAAUAGAAUCUCACUUUUAAAUACUGUGGCAAUUGGUAGUCUCAGAUCUUCACUUCCAUUCAACUUGAGAAAUACUUGCACUUGUCUGUCUUGAAACACCAUGUAGGCGCUUGAAAAUUGUAAAAUGUUGUUUUGAGUUUAUCAUCUUUCUUGAAACAGCAUUUUUACGUAUGGUUUAUUGAAAUCCUUUUAUUUGCUCUCUUUA